rnacentral:rRNA from 1 species
CCAACAGGGAUUGCCUUAGUAACUGCGAGUGAAGCGGCAAAAGCUCAAAUUUGAAAUCUGGGGCCUCACAGCCUCCGAAUUGUAAUUUCACGAUACGUUUUCGACUGAAGGCUCUGCUUUAAGUUCCUUGGAACAGGACGUCACAGAGGGUGAGAAUCCCGUGAUAGGUGGAGCCUGAUGCAUAUGAUACGUAUUCAACGAGUCGAGUUGUUUGGGAAUGCAGCUCAAAAUGGGAGGUAAAUUUCUUCUAAAGCUAAAUAUUGGCGAGAGACCGAUAGCGCACAAGUAGAGUGAUCGAAAGAUGAAAAGCACUUUGAAAAGAGAGUUAAAAAGUACGUGAAAUUGUUGAAAGGGAAGCGCUUGAGACCAGACUCAAUCUGUAGUGAUCAAUUUGGCUUCUGUCAGAUGCACUUGCUACUUAUUGGGACAGCAUCGGUUUUGGCGGUGGGAUAAAGUCUUGAGGAAUGUAGCUAUCUUCGGGUAGUGUUAUAGCCUCUUGAGUAAUGCCACCAGCUGGGACCGAGGACCGCGCCGCAAGGCUAGGAUGCUGUCAUAAUGGUCUUCAGCGACCCGUCUUGAAACACGGACCAAGGAGUCUAACAUCUAUGCGAGUGUUCGGGUGGAAAACCCUUGCGCGUAAUGAAAGUGAACGGAGGUGGGAACCUUAGGGUGCACCAUCGACCGAUCCUGAUGUCUUCGGAAGGAUUUGAGUAUGAGCAUAGCUGUUGGGACCCGAAAGAUGGUGAACUAUGCCUGAAUAGGGUGAAGCCAGAGGAAACUCUGGUGGAGGCUCGCAGCGGUUCUGACGUGCAAAUCGAUCGUCAAAUUUGGGUAUAGGGGCGAAAGACUAAUC